rnacentral:lncRNA from 10 species
AAAUUAUUGCUGAUAUAAAAAUUAGCUUUUAAGCAUACUCAUACUGCUAGGGAAACAUAUAUAUUGGUAAAAACUUUCUGAAGAGAUAUUUUAUAUUUUCCACUUUGAUUAAUUACACUGAUAAUAAUUUAUUUUAUAGAAUUAACAUAACUAUAUACAAAGACUUACAAGACCUAUACUCAUCACAGGAAAAAGACAACCAAAUAAUAAAUAAGUCAUGGUACAUCUUUGUGAUAAUAAUCUAUGCAAAUCUUUUAUAAUCCUGAUUAUCAUAACUAUUACAGUGGUGCAUAUGCUUACACAAUAAAAUAUGUGAGGCUACUAUAUACAGUUGGAUCCCAAAUUUUUGCAAACACACACAGGCAAAUUUAAUAUAGAAACUACAUUAAGCUGUUGAAAGUUCUUACUCCUGUGCUAGAUUAUGAGUGUUUUUAAGUUUUCUUCAUAGUUUAAGGAACAGAGAGAAAAAUAAUUUAAAAAUGAACAGAAACAUGUGUUCUAGUCUACCAUCAAGUAUAUGUACUAUAUUAUUUCUAGAAGGAGUAGAGAGAAAGGGAAGAAAGAAUAUUUGAAAAAGUUGAUAGUCUAAAUUUCCCAAAUAUGAUAAAAUACAUUAAUUUACAUAUCUAAGAGGUACGAUGAACUCCAAAAAGCAUAAACUCAAAGAAUUCUUAGUGAUAAACUUUUCACAAGGAGAGAAUCUUGAAAUUAGCAAGAAAAAAGUGACUGAUCACAGACAUGGGAUCUUCACCAAUUAUCAGCUGAUAUCUCUUCAGACAUCAUCAUGGCCAGAUGGCAAUCGAAUGAUAUAUGUAAAGCCUUGAAGAUCCAGUUUCAUUUCUUCUUUUUCCUGUUUUUCCUGGUCCAUGCACUAAGGAUAAAACUGAUCCAUGACACCAAAACUCUGUCAGUCAGAUUCCCUGUCUUCCUGACCACUGUACACUGCUUCCUGGGAUUCCACAAUUUCUCUCUCAUUACUUCAGUUUACAGAAGUGUCCUUAAUGAAACGGGAAUAC